CGAAAGCCUAUCUCAGUUCGGAUUGGAGGCUGAAACCCGCCUCCAUGAAGUUGGAUUCGCUAGUAAUCGCGCAUCAGCCAUGGCGCGGUGAAUACGUUCCCGGGCCUUGUACACACCGCCCGUCAAGCCAUGGGAGCCGGGGGUGCCUGAAGUUCGUUACCGUAAGGAUCGACCUAGGGCAAAACUGGUGACUGGGGCUAAGUCGUAACAAGGUAAC
rnacentral:rRNA from 1 species